rnacentral:rRNA from 1 species
AUUGAACGCUGGCGGCAUGCUUUACACAUGCAAGUCGAACGGCAGCGCGGGCUUCGGCCUGGCGGCGAGUGGCGAACGGGUGAGUAAUGCAUCGGAACGUGCCCAGUAGUGGGGGAUAGCCCGGCGAAAGCCGGAUUAAUACCGCAUACGACCUGAGGGUGAAAGCGGGGGACCGAAAGGCCUCGCGCUAUUGGAGCGGCCGAUGUCGGAUUAGCUAGUUGGUGGGGUAAAGGCUUACCAAGGCGACGAUCCGUAGCUGGUCUGAGAGGACGACCAGCCACACUGGGACUGAGACACGGCCCAGACUCCUGCGGGAGGCCGCAGUGGGGAAUUUUGGACAAUGGGGGCAACCCUGAUCCAGCCAUGCCGCGUGCGGGAAGAAGGCCUUCGGGUUGUAAAGCGCUUUUGUUCGGGAAGAAAUCCUCUGGGCUAAUACCCCGGGGGGAUGACGGUACCGGAAGAAUAAGCACCGGCUAACUACGUG